rnacentral:lncRNA from 1 species
AUGUCGGGUGGUGCAGUCUCCGUCUUUUUUGCUCUCUGUGUGCUUUUAGAUGGCUGCUGUGGAAAACUGGCGAUUCUGGGAGAGUCUGUAGAGUUAAAAGCUGAUGUGAAGUGUGACGCGCAGGAAUUCAGUCUGAUCUACCGGCUGAGGGAUGACAGUCCUCGGACUGUGGCCCAGCUGGUAAACGCCUGGGAGAAGCUGGGAGAGAGCUACAGAGAGCGGGUGGAGCAAAGAUCCAUGCUCAGCUUGUGGCUAACCUGUGUGAACUACAACUACGAGUUCACCUUCGCCGGGCAGCUUGUCACCACCAUCCAGCUGGAGGUCCUCAUCAUCUCCAACAACAACCUCUCUGUGCCUGAAGGAGACACGCUCACGCUGCCGUGUUAUUUCCACACUGAGGGGGACGCCGUGGAAUCUCUUGUGUGGGAAAGAGACGGAGAGCUGGUGCUGAACCAGAGCCUCUCCUCCGGGGAGGUCAGACACGGCACUGGAUUUGAGGGCAGAGCGUCUAUGAGGUCUGACUGGUUUGUACUGGGAGACCUGUCACUGACGGUGGAGCGAGUCCAGCUGGAGGACCGAGGUGACUUCUUCUGCUGUGUUAAUAAAGGCAGCAGACAGAGGGGGGAGUGGAGAGAGAGGGGCAGCCCUGCAGCUAUGAGAGUGACUGUCAGUGAGAGGAGCACCAUCAUCAGCAGCACCUCUGCUCCUCCCACGCGUGAAGCAGAGACACACACGGCAGCUUGUGUCACUCCCAUCAUCAUCACAGCCGUCAUAACCCUGCUUCUACACAAGCACGACCUCUGCUGUGAUACUCUUUCUCUAUAUUUUUUUAAGGGUUUUUUGUAUCUCACUGCUUGUUUUAGCUUCACUUCCUUUUCCUGUAGUUCAUUUGAUAAGAUAUAAAUCUUAACUUCUCUGCUAAUAAAUAUCUAAGAUUUGAACGUUUGAUCAUGUUUGUGUCAUGUUUUCAUGUCUUCCAGUGUCCCUUUGCCUCUUCUCCAGAAAUCUGGCAAUAUUAUUUUUUUAAAUAGCAAAGGAACAAAUAAAUAAAGUAGCCUGCAAAACAAAAAGAUGGAAAUGUUGAAAAAUGGAUUUAACAAACAAACAGUCAGAGAAAGAGAGAGAAGAGAACAAUGACAUCAGCAGCAGCAGCACUCCCAAGAAGCCAAAGUCCUCCAUGAAGUCCUGAAGCUGGACAUUCUCACUGCUCUGCAGCUUUAAUGAGAGCUCUCCAUCACCCUGGGGCACACAGAGAGAAACCAUUGGGAGGAUCACAGAUAAGGUCUGAUGCUCUGCAGUUAACAGAGAGACCUUGGCCUGAUUCUGCAGCAUGACCACAAACACAUCAUCAGAGACACAAAGAACCACCUUCAGGAACAAGAACGUCAGUCCUCUUCUCUUUUUGUCUCUUUUACAACUCCUGGAUUCUAUACACAAAUUACUUUUCUGCCCCACUAUAUGCAGACUGCCAGGAACGAUAAAUGCCCCCACACCCACUCACCUCACCAGUCUGAGCCAUGGUCUGAAUAAACCUGAGUAACAUAUACAUGUACAAUGACAAUAUAAUGACAGUAUAGGGUAUCCUUUUCUAUUUUAUAUGAAUAAAGUAGCCCCUGUGGGACAAGCCUGAUGAGAUUUGA